AAAGUCAGAGCAGGUUUGGGAUUGUGCAAUCUUGUGUGUCAUGCAGGCAAGGUCCAGUGACCUAAGCAGUGGUUCAAGCAGCAGUGGAGACAGGGGCACUAGAGUGGCAAUAUCAACGGCAACUUUCAUUCUCUACCUGGGAGAAGUUGCCUUCCGUGAAAGUUAAUGGUUGCAGCUACAAACUAUGAGGAAAAUACAAGAGGAAAUCCCAAGAUGAAUUUUUUCAAUUUUCUUUCUUUUAAUUUCUUUGUUCAAAAAUAAAAUUAGUGUUAAAGCCUCUGGAAGAAAAUCAGUACUGUUCACAUUCUGUUUAGAAAGAAUAUUAUAAAAUGGACUUCAGAGCCCAGACAACCUUCAACGUGCUGCUUGCAGAGAGAUCUGAGGAAGGAAAGGAUGUGUGUGUGAAUGGCCUCAUCAACAAAUAUUAACUAAGCAUUCAGAAGAUUCUUAGCACUGCACUAAUUAAUUUGGAGCUACCUAUAUUUAAUUUUAUCUGUUCUCCUACCAUACCAUUCCUUAUGUUCCUGGCUUAUUUGUUUAUCACUGCCUUGAUGUCAUAGCUCUCUCUGAUGUCAUAGCUCCUAACUAUAAGUAAGGGUGAAAAGAUUCACCAGAUUUUGAGUAGUAUGCAUAUAAAAAAUUUUUUUUCACUGAAUAAGUCUCACUUUUGAGGAGCCCUUCAGAUCCAUGAAGCACUUCAUACUUAAUACUUACUACACAGUAAUAAUGCAGUGUCACACUCUCAGUGGGCACACAGCAAAUGUCAACUGACUCAAUGACCUUUUCCCAACCCUUUGUAUCAAGAGAGUCAGUAUUAAAUGUCAUCAAAUCCUAUUUCCCAGUGAAAGUUGAUUGAAUAUGCGGUUUAGAGGGGAAUUUUUAACUUAAUACCACGUAACUAAAAUUACUUCAACAGUUGUUGUUUAGCAUUGAUUUGAGGCAAACUUCUGAUCAAUAAAUUGAAACCUUUCAAAAUGAAAUUUGAAGAAAGAAAAAU